UCCGUACAUUAAUAUAGUAAUUAAUUAAGCAAUGAGGUUCCGAAUAAUAUUUUUCAACCUUUGCAUUUCUCCUUCUAUUUUUCUCUGAAUGUGUUGUUAAGUGUAGAGAGAGGUUCAAUAUGUAUUUUCCGGAAAAAUUCUUAUAAGUGACCACCAUUGAAGCUCUGACUCAUGGUUCUCGUGUCUACUUUUUUUUAAUAGGAAUUCUCGUGUCUACUUUAUUUUCCACCGGCGUCUGUCAACCUCCAAUCUAUCUGAUCUUGUUUAUAUUUUUAGAUUCUUCUUCAAUUUCCGAUUCUUAAUCCUCACUUGAUUUUAUUUGAUUUUUAUGCAGAAUUCUAGGGUUUUAUUGAGGAUCACUUGAGGCGGCUGAAAUUGAAUCAUCGAUCAUCAGCAAUUGAGGUAUGGCUCCCCAUCGUCCGCGAAACUCUACAUCUCCUCCUCAAGAGUUCUUCUCGUAUCUUAGAGGAAACCAUGUCUGGAAGAGCAUUGGUGUAAGCUUUAAGACUCCCAAAGAUGCUAUUGAAGGUCCUUUUUUUGAGUCUUUAAGUCUCCCAUAGAUGCUAUUGAAGGUCCUUUUUUGAGUCUUUAAGUCUCCCGGAGCUUUAAGACUCCCCAUCGUUAGCAAUGAAUAUUGAAUGAAGAGCAUGAGGUAUAUGUCUUUUGUUUCAGCUUCCUAAGUUCCAUAUCCCUUUUAAUAUAUUACAAAUAGAAGCUUGUUUCAUGGGCAUUCUUGUUUGUUGGUUUGGAAUAGUUUACAAGGCUGCAGUUUCUAUUUAACUAUGGUUUAAUUCA